rnacentral:rRNA from 1 species
UACAGAGGGGGCAAGCGUUAUUCGGAAUUAUUGGGCGUAAAGGGCGCGUAGGCGGCAUCGCAAGUGGAAGGUGAAAUCCCUCGGCUUAACCGAGGAACUGCCCUCCAAACUGCUUCGCUUGAGACCGGGAGAGGUGAGUGGAAUUCCCAGUGUAGCGGUGAAAUGCGUAGAUAUUGGGGAGGAACACCAGUGGCGAAGGCGGCUCACUGGACCGGUACUGACGCUGAUGCGCGAAAGCGUGGGGAGCAAACGGG